ACAGCUUGAAUGCUUCUUGGCGGGCUCCACCUCCACCUCCAUCUGAACGACCGCAACACCCCCAAAAUUUCAAACUAUUGCAUAAUCAAACACGAAAAGAAGCCGUCUGCCCUUUACCGGGAUCGAUUUUCCGGCUUUCGGCGUUGCACAAAAGCAAGCGAUUAGCAGACAGAAAGAACUCAGGCCAAUCAUAGAAUCUUCUCCCUUUGCGGACACGGGUUGCUUCUCUAGAAUCUUUUUCUCGAACUGCUUCUCUAGCAUCUCAUGGCUUUGAGCUUGAGCAAUGGUAGGAGGAGAUGGGCGUGCAGAGCAGCGCGCAGAGGAGGAAAGGGAGGCGCAGGCUGCGGCCAUUUCCACGUCCACUACCACGUCCCGCGCCAGGUCUGGGCAUUCUCGCCUCUCCGGUUGCCGGCUCGCUUCUCGCUGUUGCCUUAUCUGCUGAUCCUUCCGGUGCUAUUCUUCGCCGUGCUUGCCUUUCUCGUGUGUUUCGGCUGGUUCACCCUAGUCUAUUUCGUGUCAUCCCUGUGGAGCAAAGGAAAUGAUCAUCGUCGCACGGAAUGCGGCAGCGAUGCCGGUGAACCUCCCGGGGAAGACCAACGGGAGGAGAGAGCAGUGAAGCGUGUUACAGAGCAAGCUGGUGAUUCUGGCCCGUCAGAAGUUUGUGUUGGAACUCAUGAGAUAAAAGAGGUGUUUGAAGAUGGAUUCUCUGAAGAAUCUCGGCACAUGUCAAUGAUUGCUUCACCCGGAAUCUGUAUCGACGACAAAGAGAAUGCCGAUGAGGAGAAAAUUGUAACAGAAGUGAUGAUGUUUGAGACAAACAAGGAGGAGCUAAAAGCAUUUGCUGAAUUGGAUGGUUGUUCAGAGAAGCAUCAGCAGGUAAUGGAACCUCCAUUUGAUUGUUUUCUCGAAGAUCUUAAUACCAGAGAGUUCAGCACCUCACUUUAUACUGCAAAAUUACUCGAUGUGCCAUAUGGUGACGAAUUUGUUGCAGACAGAAAGGAACUGUCAGUUUUAAGUUCAUUGGAAAUUUUGGAAUUUAUUGACAAGCAUGAUACUGCAGAAAUAGUAGUUAACGGAGCUGAGAGUGAUUUUGAGAUUCCAGAGGUAUCGUCUUCAGAUGAUUCAUCCCACCAUGGUCUUGGAGAUGAACAGAGGAAGGAGAUCAAACAAGAACAAAGCACAACAGAACUAUCAGUUAAUUGCGUUAUUAACAGGCUACCUGAAGGCAUCCUUGACAAAUGGCAAGAAACAGAAAAUCUAGCCAUUCAGCACAAGAAGAAGCUAGCUGAAGAUGACUCCAUGGAAGAAGUCAGACAGCAGACUGUUAGUAUUUCAGAUCAAGAGUCUCAAUGUGAAAUGGCCUGGUUGCCACUUGAUUCAGCCUGUGAAAAUGAAUCUGAAAAUGUAGCAGCUUCGAACACUCCAUUCCAUCAAGCUAUUAAUGGCCAAGAUGGUGAAUUUAAAGAAGAGCUUAUUAAGAACAAAAAUGUAGAAUCAUCAACUUCUGCAUCUGCCGUUUGUGAUUUUGCCCAUAAGCAUUGGAGAAUAAUAGAACAACUUGAUGGUUUUGAAAGUGAAGAUAAGAAUGAAGACAGAGAUGGUAACUGUACCUCCACGGGAGCUUCACGUAGAUUGCCGCUCAUUAGGAGGUCCCCAACACAGUGGUGGAAUUUAUGUGGAGUCCUUGAUGCGUUUGCUGGGGGUGAAGACUAAAUUGAGGUGACAAGCUGGUCCCCGCCGUAGCCUGGGGGUGAAGACUAAAUUGAGAUGUUGUCAGGGAAACAUUAGGUCCACUAAAACUUCAGAUAUUUAAAGCUCAUCCCGUUAUGCUAUCGACAAUACUUCUCAAGGCUUGAGUUUUCUUUUCCCUCACCUGCUUUUGCUCUUGGCACUAUUGCGUGCCGUGCUCUGGCUUUGACCAUUUUUUUUCCCAUUCACUAGAAUUUUGGAAGCUUUGGGCUUCUGCCUAUCUACUGGAUAUUGCUCAAAAACAGAAGGAUUGGAUUUUGUUUUUGUGUUUGUGGGCUGAGAUAUUGGAUUUUUUAGGACUAAAGGAUUGCAUUAACUGUUUAUGGUCAGCCCACAACUUUUUAAAUUUUUUUACUGAUUGUAUAUUUUUUGCCGACAGUGGCUAUUGUAAUUCUUCCUUCUUCCUUCAAAUUCAAGAAAGCUUGACUGAUUGUAAAUUGGUAUGAAAUGGAAGUACAUCUUGUAAA